rnacentral:rRNA from 1 species
AUACAGAGGGUGCGAGCGUUAAUCGGAAUUACUGGGCGUAAAGGGUGUGUAGGUGGUUAUGUUAGUCUUUCGUUAAAGCCUUCGGCUCAACCGAAGAUCUGCGGAAGAAACGGCAUAACUUGAGGAUGUGAGAGGUGUGUGGAACUCAUAGAGUAGGGGUGAAAUCCGUUGAUACUAUGGGGAACACCAAAAGCGAAGGCAACGCACUGGCAUAUUCCUGACACUGAGACACGAAAGCGUAGGUAGCGAAUGGGAUUAGAAACCCCAGUAGUCC